rnacentral:rRNA from 1 species
CUCGUAGGCGGUUUGUCGCGUCGGGAGUGAAAACACACAGCUUAACUGUGUGCUUGCUUCCGAUACGGGCAGACUAGAGGUAUGCAGGGGAGAACGGAAUUCCUGGUGUAGCGGUGAAAUGCGCAGAUAUCAGGAGGAACACCGGUGGCGAAGGCGGUUCUCUGGGCAUUACCUGACGCUGAGGAGCGAAAGUGUGGGGAGCGAAC